rnacentral:rRNA from 1 species
GACGGAGGGGGCAAGCGUUGCCCGGAAUCACUGGGCGUAAAGCGCACGUAGGCGGGACGGUGCGUCGGUGCUGAAAGCGCCAGGCUUAACCUGGCGAGGCGUGCCGAUACGACCGACCUCGAGGCAGACAGAGGGUGGCGGAAUUCCGGGUGUAGUGGUGAAAUGCGUAGAGAUCCGGAGGAACGCCGGUGGCGAAAGCGGCCACCUGGGUCUGACCUGACGCUGAGGUGCGAAAGCGUGGGGAGCAAACCGG